GCUGUUGUAGUAUAGUGUGUUAGUACUCCACGUUGUGGCCGUGGUGACCCUGGUUCGAUUCCAGGCAACAGCA